rnacentral:rRNA from 1 species
UACGUAGGGUGCAAGCGUUAAUCGGAAUUACUGGGCGUAAAGCGUGCGCAGGCGGUUAUGUAAGACAGAUGUGAAAUGCCCGGGCUUAACCUGGGAACUGCAUUUGUGACUGCAUGGCUAGAGUUUGGCAGAGGGGGGUAGAAUUCCACGUGUAGCAGUGAAAUGCGUAGAUAUGUGGAAGAACACCGGUGGCGAAGGCGGCCCGCUGGGCAGGAAGGCUCGCAAGAGCCGGCUGACGCUGAGGCGCGAAAGCGUGGGGAGCAAACAGG